UUCUCCAGAAACUUCCCAAGAAAGGGUGCAGAGGAGGCUAAUUUUUGAGACCUUGCAUUUCUGUCUGAAAAUAUCCCUAUUCUACCGUUGCAUUUGGCUGACAGUUUGACCAGGUAAAGGCUUCAGAUUGGUGAUCAUGUUCCCUGAGAUUUGGAAAGUACAGCUGUAUUUCUUCUAGGUUCCACUGUUGCUAAGAAGUCAGAUGCUGGAAUGUUUGCUGAGCCUUUGUAUGCGACCUACCUUUUCUCUGUUAAACAUUUUUGGGAAAUCUCUUUUUGUUUUUAAUUCAGACUUCAAUAGAUGUGUCCUGGAGUUGGUCUUUUUUCUUCCAUUCAUUGUGCUGGGCACUUAAUGUACUCUUUCCACAUGGAAAUUCAUAUUUUUCAAUUCUGUAGCAUUUUUGUGUAGUUGUCUCUUCUGCAUUUUCUUCAUUCUCUUUCUGAAACUUUGCUUUUUUAGGUUUUUGUUUUUAAGCGAAGGAGUCUUGUUGUGUUGCCCAGGCUGGCCUCAAACUCCUGAGCUCAAGCAAUUCUCCCACCUCAGCUUCUCAAACAGCCAGGACAACAGAUGUACAGCACUGCACCUGUCUGUGAAACUCAUUAGAAAAACAGAUUUUGGACUUCUUAAAAACAAUGAAGAAAAAAACAACUGAAGAAGAAAAGAGUAUGUUACAAUUCCCUUAUUUACAACAAAGUCGGAUAACAGGCUGACACCAGCUGGAACCAACAUGGCAGACAGCAGUCUGAGUAGGAAAGACUUGCUCAUUGAUGAGUGACCUUUGACCUCAGAGAGCCGGAAACUCCACCUUCAGAUCAUGCUCAUUCCACCAUUUUCUGAGCAAGCAGCCCAUGAAGCAUGUCAGGACAACAGCACAUGCCCAAAGGCCCUUACCAACCCCUUCCCUUCAAGCCAAUCUCUGUGCAGACCCGAAACUCCACUUGCAAAAUCUCUCCCUCAAUUGGGUGGCAAAGUCAGUAGGGUGAGACAGAUUAGAGCAUUUCCUCCUGUCUCCCUGUCGGUUCACUGGCAAUAAACUUCUCUCCCUGGAAGAACCAUG
rnacentral:lncRNA from 1 species